UUAAACUGAUCUUUAAUUUUCCAUAUAUUGAUUCUAACCCAGAUACGUACAUCACUGUCUUGUUUUAUGCAGCUUAUCCUACAUGAUUGGAGCGACGAUCAUUGUGUGAAGUUAUUGAAGAAUUGUUGGAAACAACUUCCAAAAAAUGGAAUGGUUAUCGUCUGUGAACUAACUCUUCCCGUUGAACCACAAGAAGAUAAUUCAGCUUUCUAUAGUGAUAUGGCGAUGUUGACAAUAAAUCCUGGAGGUAAGGAGAGGACUGAAAGUGAAUAUAGUUUACUGGCAAAGAAAGCAGGAUUUGUCGAUUUCAAAGUUGCAUGUGAUGUAGAUGGAAUGUACAUCAUGGAAUUCAGUAAGUAGCUGCACGCCUAAAUUUCUUCCUUAUGCGAGAAUACUAAAUAAAAUUAACGCGUAUAUACACAACUUGAUUCGUCUAGUUGAUAACUAUCACUAUUAAGGUGGAUGAACGGUUAAAGGUUCAUGAUUCGAGCCUUAGUGUAUGCAUUUUAAUUUAUAUUUAUUUAUGUAUCACAUACGUAUUUUAUCAAAAAAAUAAAAAAUGUUUGCAAUAUAUAUUUAUUUAAGAUUAAUGUUUGUGUACAAUUUCCAUUUUUAUAUAGAUAAAUUUUUUGAACAGUACAACAUCAGCAUCAGCAGAACAUAAAUAAUGGAUGAAACACAGGAAUGAGACAAGCAGUAGAUGUAAAUGACCAGCAUGGAGUUGUGAUAAUGAGUGAAACUUAUCAUAGGUGAAAUCCAGCUAGUUUUUAUCUUUAAAUUCCACAAUCUGCAAAACAAAACAAAAAUACAGAUUAUUAAUAAUUAAAACAAACUUAAACUUCCCUUUAAAGACCGAACUUCAUCUUAAUGGUACUGCAUAAUUUGAUAAAAAUAUCUUAAGAUACAGCUUUGGUAAACAUGUCAGCAAGUUGAUCAGAUGAGCGCACAUGUUUUAUAUUUAUUGAUCCAUUUAAAAUUAAUUCUCUAAUGAAAUGUAUAUCUGUUUCUAGGUAUUUCGACAUUUUGCUAAUUACUGGAUUUUUGGCCAUAAAAAUAGAUGAAAUAUUAUCCGUGUAUAGAAGAGGAACCUGAAUUAAUUUAUGACAAAGAUCUCUACAGAUAAAAUGAGUCCAUCUUAAAUUUAUAGUGGGACUUGCUAGGGCUCUAUAUAUAUAAAGGAAUAUAAACCCUAAAAGUAGAUUUAUUAACAUUAGUUUAAUUAAUAACAUGAUAACUAUUUUCUCUAACAUUAUUUGGUCAUGUAAAAUAUUGUAUUUAACAGGGUUAUGCUAGCAAUUAUUUCAAUGAAAGCUUACUGGAUUAAUGAGGGUCAACAAGAUGAUGGUGGCCAGUUAAAUGAAAUCUAUUAGUCUAAUAAAUAGUUAAAUACAAUGUAAUAAAAACAGAUGAGCAGUUAAAUCAGUUAAGGCCCAAGUAUAAAUAUUAUAAAUACUUAAAGAAAACAGUGUAAUAAUGAUUCAGUUAAUGAGAUUUCCCAAUUUAACUGAUUUACCUUCUUCCUCUUUUAAAAUCUUCCAAAGACAUUCCGACAGUAUCUCCGGCCAUUGUCGGUCUUCCACACGAGGAAGACAAUAGGGUUAUCUUUUUUCCCAAUCAAUUCUUUUACUAUAUUCAGCCUCAACACUUGAUCUUGAAACAAUAUUUUAUUUCUUUGAUGACCAAGUUACUAAGUUUCCUCCGAUAACAGUUGUUUAGAACUGAGGGGCAAACGCUUAUCACCAAAAUUUAGGAUUUAGAAGAGAGUAGUAUUAGUAUAUAUGUUCAAUCUAUUUUGCCUGCAGAUUUUAUCGGCCAUGAAAUUGAUAAUAAAAGGAUCGACAAAGAAGAUUGAAGAAGAAUUUCACGAGGCAAUGCAGGUUUUGGAGAGUAUUUUCAAAAAUGAAAGUCAAGGUCAGAGCUUCUUUGCGAAGGGAAAUAUCGGAUAUAUUGACAUAUCUUUGGGGUCAAUAUUGGGUUGGAUGAAAGUUGUUGAGAAAUCAAAGAAUAUUAGGUUACUGGAUGAGAAGAAGACGCCUAUGUUGGUGAAUUGGGCUGAACGAUUCCAAGCUCACGAAGUUGUCAAGAGAAUGAUACCCGAACCAGACAAGUUGUCUAAGAUAAUUGAUGAAAAAACAAUAGACGAUUCCAAUCAACAAGAAGAAAUUGAUCGAGCAUUUAUCUAUGCUAGGCAAUUGACGUUCAAUCCUGCUCUCUCGAUCAAUGACUUUGAAAGUUGUCAUUGAACUAGGUGUGCUUGAUGUUAUUGUGAAUGCUGGUUUUAAAAAAUUCCUCUCCCCAAAAGAGAUAGCAAGAGAACUAUCCAUUAUCAACCCUGAUGCUCCCAUCAUGCUCAACCGCAUGCUUAGACUACUUGCCAGCCACAAUAUCGUCAUCAGCAAAUUGAAGUCAGAUAGUAAUUUUGAUGAAGACAUCAUAGUUGGUACUACGUUAUAUGGUAUUGGCCCUAUAUCUAAGUAUUUUGUCAAGAAUGAGGAUGGUGCUUCACUAGCUCCCAUGCUUGUCGCGCUCCAUGAUGAGGUUUACAUGAAAAGUUGGUAAGCUAUUUGUUUAUCAUCUUUAAUACCAACUAUAAGAAAACAAUCAAAACAUGUUAUAUUUAUAGAAAAACAAUCAAAUAAUUCAUUCAUUAUUUGUCUUCUUUUUAAUAAUAGAGUAUUGAAUGUGAUAUCAAACUAGCCCUUAAUUUUAAAUAUCUCAAGAUUUUUUUAUAGGUACUGCUUGAAAGAAGCAGUGAUGACAGGUGGAAUUCCAUUCAACAUGGCGUACGGAAUGUCAGCUUUUGAAUAUCAUAGUAUAGAUACGAGGUUCAAUAAUCUAUUUAAUAAAGCAUUUUUUAAUAUGACAAUCCUUAUGAAGACAAUUCUUCAUUUAUAUAAUGGAUUUGAGAGUAUCAACAAAUUGGUUAAUGUUGGUGGCGGCACCGGAGUCAAUCUAAACAUCAUAAUCUCGCAACAUCCAACCAUAAAGGGCAUCAACUUCGACCUUCCUCAUGUCAUCAAAAAUGCCCCCUUAUUUACAGGAGUGGAACAUGUUGGCGGAGACAUGUUUGAGAAGGUUCCUAGUGGAGAUGCCAUUUUUAUGAAGGUAUAUACCUUAAAGCGGCCUUUAAUUUUUCAUAUAUUGAUUCUAACCCAGAUACGUACGUACGUACAUCACUAUGUUGUUUUAUGCAGCUUAUUCUACAUGAUUGGAGCGACGAUCAUUGUGUGAAGUUAUUGAAGAAUUGUUGGAAACAACUUCCAAAAAAUGGAAUGGUUAUCGUCUGUGAACUAAUUCUUCCUGUUGAACCACAAGAAAAUAAUGUAGCUUUCUAUACUGAUAUGUUGAUGUUGACACUAAAUCCGGGAGGUAAGGAGAGGACUGAGAGUGAAUAUAGUUUACUAGCAAAGAAAGCAGGAUUUGUCGAUUUCAAAGUUGCAUGUGAUUUAGGUGGAACGUACAUCAUGGAAUUCAUUAAAUAGCUCUACACCCAAAUUUUUUCCUUAUGCGAAAAUACUAAAUAAAAUUAAAGUUUAUAUACACAACUUGAUUAGUCCAAUUGAUAACUAUCACUAUUAAGGUGGAUGAAUUGUUAAAGGUCCAGGGUUUGAGUCUCAGUGUAUGCAUUUUAAUUUAUAUUUGUUUAUGUAUCACGUACUUUAUCAAAAAAAUAAAAAAAAUGUUUGCAAUAUAUAUAUAUAUAUAAGGCAGGUUUCCUAUACGUCG
rnacentral:lncRNA from 1 species